GUUAAUCUUUUAUCACGGUAUAAACUGAUAUUUUUCAAAAUCCACUUUAAUAAGGAUUCUUAAAAGCUUUAACCUCCCUUCUAGCCCACCUCCCACUAGAGUUAGUAGAAAGGAGAGGUUUAUAGGGCAAAGGGGAAUGUGGGCCUAUUUAGAAAUAGUUCUUUGGGGGAGAUUACAAUCUCUUUGUCGGGAUAUCAGCAGUUGAGUUCACAGGAAUCAGCAGCAGCAGCUCAAUCCACUCUCAAACACCUGUCACAGUGAAUGGCAGUUCAUCCAGAAGAAAACUCGGGGCUCUGCCAAUCGGCCUGAGUCCCUGGAAGAGGUCAGAAGCCCCUGCAAUAUCACAAGAAGUUCUUUGGCAGGUUCUCUCUACGAAGUUGUGAUUAGUGAUGAUCAGCAAAGAAGGCAGGCAAGGUGAACCAACACCGCAGUGUUGUUAUUGAAGACCAGCGAAGAGUGGCAGGGUGAGCUGCAGCCUCGUCCACUGUCUGUCGGGUUAUCCUUAUACCCUGUCCAAACAUUACGUGUUCUCUCAAGCAUCCCCUCUAGCAAAGCAUCCCAUGCCCUUUUCCCAGGCCGCUUCCAGAAAAGCACCAUGUGUCUGCUGUCGGCAAAACAUCCUCUCCUAAGACAGUUUCCGGGAAAAACAUCACGUGACACAACUGAGUCUCCAAAGAAACCAGAAAUGUCCACUUCACCGUGGUUCCUAACGGAGGGUACCACAGAGCCUCCCUUUUAUCUUACAGCCAGCUUCUCUCUUAGCAUAGUCGGUGAUGGCAGGUGUCACGGAGCCUUUCCUUACGUAUUACAGCUAUUAUUCUUGAAUUACAGCUGUCCGUGCGGGUGCCCAGGCGAUUGAAGCUUAUGUCUCAUGCAAGCGCGCCCUCUAGUGGUGGCCAAGCUGAUGGCCGCUCCUUUGCUACAGUCGACUAUUUCUACUUCCCUGCUGUCCUGUGAGGGCCAUCAUCAGGAUGAAGUCUAUCCCCAGACCUCCUUGAAAAAGCAGAGAGAGACGUGUCCAUCACCAUCGCAGUGGCAGGCAGGCACGGGGACUGGAGCAAGGAUCCUGAGAGCUCACAGCUUGACCCACAAGCAUGAAGCAGUUAGAGCAACGAGAAAUGGUGGGGAUCUUCAAACUCGCAAGGUGUGCCUCUGGCGACACGCUUCCUCCAACAGGGCCACAUCCCUCAAAAGUUCCGCUGCCUGGGGAGCGUGUGCUUAGAUACAGGAGCCUCUGGAGAAUGUCCUCACUCAGACCACAUCUUAUGGCGGCACAGUGAAACGGAAUCUAAAGCCUAGGAUUUAUUCUGUUUUAUUUUCAUUUUCUUAAUUUCCAUGAAAUAAAUUCAUUUUAAUUCCUUUA